rnacentral:SRP_RNA from 1 species
GCCAGGCGUGGUGGUGCACGCCUGUAAUCCUAGCUACUCGGGAGACUGAGGUAGAAGAAUCACUUGAACCCAGGAGGCGGAGGUGACAGUGAGCAGAGACCACGCCACUGCACUCCAGCCUGGGUGACACAGUGAGACUCCAUCUCAA